GCCAGUGUGGUGUAGUGGUUUGAGUGUUGGACUACAACUCUGGAGACCAGGGUUCGAUUCCCAGGUUGGCC